AACGAACGCUGGCGGCAUGCCUAACACAUGCAAGUCGAACGAGACCUUCGGGUCUAGUGGCGCACGGGUGCGUAACGCGUGGGAACCUGCCCUUAGGUUCGGAAUAACUCCCCGAAAGGGGUGCUAAUACCGGAUAAUGUCUUCGGACCAAAGAUUUAUCGCCUUUGGAUGGGCCCGCGUUGGAUUAGCUAGUUGGUAGGGUAAAAGCCUACCAAGGCGACGAUCCAUAGCUGGUCUGAGAGGAUGAUCAGCCACACUGGGACUGAGACACGGCCCAGACUCCUACGGGAAGCAGCAGUGGGGAAUAUUGGGCAAUGGGCGGAAGCCUGAUCCAGCAAUGCCGCGUGAGUGAUGAAGGCCUUAGGGUUGUAAAGCUCUUUUACCCGGGAUGAUAAUGACAGUACCGGGAGAAUAAGCUCCGGCUAACUCCGUG
rnacentral:rRNA from 1 species